rnacentral:tRNA from 1 species
GAUUAAGAAGCAAUGCAAUUCAUUGUUACUGAAUAAAAGUUAUUUUUUUUUUUU